AUUGAACGCUGGCGGCAGGCCUAACACAUGCAAGUCGAGCGAGCGGCGGACGGGUGAGUAAUGUAUGGGGAUCUGCCUGAUGGAGGGGGAUAACUACGGGAAACGGUAGCUAAUACCGCAUAACAUCAGAUGAACCCAGAUGGGAUUAGCUAGUAGGUGAGGUAAAGGCUUACCUAGGCGACGAUCCCUAGCUGGUCUGAGAGGAUGAUCACCCACCCUGGGACUGAGACACGGCCCAGACUCCUACGGGAGGCAGCAGUGGGGAAUAUUGCCCAAUGGGCGCAAGCCUGAUGCAGCCAUGCCGCGUGUAUGAAGAAGGCCUUCGGGUUGUAAAGUACUUUCAGUCGGGAGGCGUUACCGACAGAAGAAGCACCGGCUAACUCCGUGCCAGCAGCCGCGGUAAUAC
rnacentral:rRNA from 1 species